GCUCGUUUGUAGCCGAGGUCGCGCGCUCGCCGUACCCUUGCUGGGGGCCGUAAAGCGCGGAAGGUCGCGGGCCGCGGCUUCCCCGGAACUUUUUAUUCCUCCGGCCCGCCCCUCCUCCGGAACCCGCUUCCCGCUCUCCGGCCCGCGGCCACCUUCGGCGACCCCCGGACAACCGCCGUGCAAGCGCCUCGCUUCCGCCGGGGUGUUGCUGAGCGCGGAGCGCGUGCGACCGGUGAGGCUAAAAAGCGGCUUAUGAGAAAGGACAACCUGCUGCUCUCCCCGGUUGGCCCAUGUGCUGACAAUAAAUCUCUUGUGUGAGAUUCUGGUGUGUGGCACCGGCUCAAGCCACUCUCAAGACCUACUGCUGGACUUACCAGACCCACGUGGGGAUGUCGGAUGGAGGCGGAGUGCAGGAUCAGGCACGCAAGGAACACCUUUUCACAGGAAUGAGAUUCUUCGUCCUUAACCAGCAGGAAGUAGCUACAGAAGAAAGCCCAUCAUCCCACCCCCGCUAUCUAUAAAAACAAAAAGGGAGGAAUAUUGGCAUCAGAUCUGCCAUUUUAGGUCAGAAGCCAUUUUACCUGGGGGUUCUAAGUUUUGAUUCUGAGGCAAUGCCGCUUAGCUUCCCGUAAAACGUGUGGCUACUAAGAGGUCAACCCACCCCAGCCCAUGACGCAGCCCCUAAGCAUGCAUAAAAAUUCCUGUUGCAGGCUAUAAAACUGUUCUAUGAGAAUUGACACGCUGCUGCUCUCCUCGGAGGGACAGUCUUGUCGGUUGGCCUGUGUGCUACUGACAGUAAAUUUCUUGUGUGAUUCUGGUGUGUGGCCUGGUGCUUGGACUUUUGCGGGUGUCCUUUCAGAGACAGCCGAACAAUCUAUUUUUCCAGGGUAGGGAUUCAUACUAGUUUCUUAAAUCUUGAUCACCUGGUGCCCUUAUUGAAAAAUACAACACCUUGGACCAACGGGAGCAAUCUCCAAAAGAGGAGCCUGGGACUUUAGCUUUUAAAUCGGUGUCCCUGGUGGUCCUUCUGAGGCACGUGUGGCACAUGUUUUAGUCCACCUACACUCACUAAAACUUGUGACCUGCAGCCCACCCAUUCCUAUUGCUGUAAUUCAGGGGUUAGCCCUCUCACCUUGCUGCUGUUGGUAUGAGCAGAUCUGAGUAGAACCAGCCCAUUUAUUAACUCUUGGUAUUUUUCCCUGAGCUUUAGAGGAUCCAGAAGCCAUCAUUUGUGAACUAAAAAUUUUUUUAAUUAAAAAUUCUAAUCAAAGAAAGUUGUGGAGUGUUUGUUUCAUGUCUUAAAUCACCUGGGAGAGACUUAAGUGUAUUAAAAUGCUGAGAAGGGGCUGGGGAGAUAGCUCAGUUGGUAGAGUGCUUGCCUUGCAAGCACAAGGCCCUGGGUUCAAUCCCCAGCG